CAAGGACAGAGCUUCAUACUUGGCCACUCGCAGCAGCCUGAGCUUUGACCCACACCCCAUCGACCAACUGGCACUGAACUGUUUGCUCGUAGAGGGGGUGGGUGGCACGCUGAAGGCUAUCCAGCACGAUCCUGCCCUUUCCCUUGGCAAUUCUGUGACACUUUCCAAUCUAAGGCCGACAGAGCACCCUCCCAGGUGAGCAGUAGGCCUGGAGCCCUUCUGUAACCUGGCAUCUGUAGGUCUCCUCAUAAAGAACCAGAGUCGGAAGAGGAAAGGACUUACACUCAUUUCAACUCAGUCAUGGGGCCCUGAAGCGUCCCGAGGUCCCCUCUUUCCCACCCUACCUGUCGGCUGCGCGGCUCCACCACUUGCCAAACUAGGAGGAUUAAGUCGGUCUCGUCCGAGCCUAGGUCCGGCCCCAGCGCACCAGCAGUGGCCCCGAACAAAACAACCAGCGAUUGGGCAGGCACUGUGAGUCCUCCGCAAAAGAAUGUGCAGGAUCAGAGGCCUCUUUCCAUUCCGCAAGGGUCACGCAAGACCCAUGGAAUUCAACAGGAGGCCAUCUAGGGACUGUAAAAGGUCGCGACGUCUGGCUUGAGGUUAAUGGAAGUUACAAAGGGUCAAAAGCCGACAGUGAGCGCUACCAGGCCGCCCUGAGGGCUCAGGAUAGUUUCCCACCUACUCAACUGUAAUUAGUAAUCUGGGGAGAGUAAAAAGCUACUGGCGUGGGACUUAGAAUACAGGAUGCCACAGGCUGAAGAAGAACCUCGUGUGUUUGGAAAAGCGGGGUGCUUCCUAUCAGUCUUGGAUAAAAGGCAGCCCAGAACCCGGGUGCAUCCCUAACUCAUGCCCAAGGAAGGUCGUGCGGAGCCAGAGGACCUAGAAUGGAUAGUGCGCCUCCUGGGUUUUCCCACCUAAUA
ensembl:processed_transcript